UCCUUACAUAUAUAGAUAUUUAUAUAUAUUUAUGUAUAUUUUGAGACAGAGUCUUGCUCUGUUGCCGGGCUGGAGGUCAGUGGCGCAAUUUUAGCUCACUGCAACCUCUGCCUCCCAGGUUCAAGGGAUUCCCCUACAUCAGCCUCCCAAGUAGCUGGGACUAUAGGCAUGUGCCAACAUGCCCAGCUUGUUUUUUGUGUUUUUUUAGUGGAGACGGGGUUUCACCGUUUUGGCAAGGAUGGUCUUGAUCUCCUGACCUUAUGAUCCACCUGACUUGGCUUCCCAAAGUGCUUGGAUUACAGGCAUGAGCCGCCGCGCCCAGCCACAAUCUAUAUUUUAUCAAGCUCUUCAGGUGAUGUUGAUAUAUGCUAAACUUUGCAAAUUACUGAUUUAGAGACUAAUCAACUUAUUAAAAAGUUAAAAAAAAUAGGUGAGGAUCCAUUGUAGCACCCCAAUGAGUCCAUUAGACUUACCUAUGCUAUUAUCUUCUAAAUUCACAUUAUACAAAUUGUAUGCCACAAAAAUGUUUAAGGUGAAAACCCAAAGAAUUUGAUGCAUUUGAUUAAUUUACAAAAAUAAAACAGCUCCAAUUCACAGAAAAAAAUGCACACAUAUCUGAUAAGUAGUAGUAGAUAAAAAAGAUGAAUAACUUCUCAUGACUAAUACCAAUCAAAAUGUAAUUUUUAAAAUUAUGGUAAGUUGGUCAUUUUUUAAAAAUCUGUUACGCCUUGUCACGACAAGGAUAGGUGAAAAGGAACUUCCGUCAGCUAUUGGUUAGUAUAUGGGUGAAACCUUUUAGAUGAUUUGGCUCUACUUAAUAAAAUGUUCAGUCCUUUCUGAUUUUAGCACCGUAUUUCUACAGAUACACUGGCACAUCUGCGGGGAGGGGCACUUCUACUUGUUGCCUGAUAUCCCUUAAUAGUGUUAACAUUUUUUUCUUAAGCAUUACUACCUUUAAAAUCAUGUUAAAGAAAGGCUAAAUGGGGCCGGGCGCGGUGGCUCAAGCCUGUAAUCCCAGCACUUUGGGAGGCCGAGGUGGGUGGAUCACGAGGUCAAGAGAUAGAGACCAUCCUGGUCACCAUGGUGAAACCCUGUCUCUACUAAAAAUACAAAAAAUUAGCUGGGCAUGGUGGCUCGUGCCUGUAAUCCCAGCUACUCGGGAGGCUGAGGCAGGAGAAUUGCCUGAACCCAGGAGGGGGAGGUUGUGGUGAGCCGAGAUCGUGCCAUUGCACUUCAGCCUGGGUAACAAGAGCAAAACUCCGUCUCAAAAAAAAAAAAAGAAAGGAUAAAUGAUGUGUAACAGACUCAGUUUCCCCUUCUCUGGCUUUCCUUUAGUUUACAUCUCUCUCUCUCUCUCCCUCACUUGAGGAGCUCAACACCCUUAAGAUUAUAGAGAAAUUGCAGGAGGUAAUAUUGGCUAGAAAUGCUGAAUUUUAGAAACUUAGGUAGAAAUGGUUUAAGCCAUCAGCCUAAAUGAUCAAUGAAAAUGUCAGACAUUCUCUGUUUUCUUCUUCCAAGAUAUUAUUCUCUACUGUGGCCUUAGCUCUCGAUUUCUAUAUAAUUCUGAUUUAAAAAGGAAGGACAUGCUUCUAAUAUACCUUGCUGUUGUGUCUUCCUGUUCAUUAAGAUAGCUGAUGUCAGUCAAAAUAAAUUCUAGAAAUUCUUGCGUACUUUUUUUUAGUAUACUGAGAAUGCUUGACGCAGACUAACCAAACUUAAGUGUUUUAAGGAUAUUAACAAUAACAGGAAAGCCCCUCGAUUUUCUGCUAAGAAUCAACCCGAGCAGUUUCUAAACUGCUGGUUGGCAAUGUCAGUAUCAUGAGAAAGACUGAAAAAAUAGGAAACUGUUUUGAGAAAAAGAGGAAUAGGUGCAGGCUCAGGGAAUGAACUUUGUAAUCCAGUAGUCUUUCCCUGCCAGCAUGUAUUUAGAUUUGAUAGGCUACAUCUCUGCUUUUUCUCAUCCUUUUUUUUUUUUUUUUUUUUUUUUUUUUUGCCAGAAAGCCAGUAUUUUGAUACUUGAAGGCCUCCUUUCCAUCUUAAUGGAGAAGCCUUCUUACACUUAAAGUAUGCAGUGGCUCCUUCAGGUAUAGGAUGAAAAAUUAAGUGGGACUAUCUGUAGAUUACUAAAUCACAAUCAUUAAGGAAAAUAAUGCCCUAAUUAGCCUGUCUUUUGACAAGCCCGGCAUCCAUAUAUAAGUCUAAUAUUGUAUGCAAAUGUGAGACACGGUUGCUUUCUACAUCUCUGAUGUAAAAGAAAGAGCUGGCUUCCUUCCCGUGUUCAGUAUGGACUUGCCUUCAUUCUGCUGCCAACAGCUCCUCAUGGGAGUGUGAAAGUGGAGUUAAACCCUCUUGGUUUUCAGCUUUAGAAUCCUGGAUGAUUAAGUGGCUUGAUCAAAAUCAGAAACUGUGAAAGUGCUAAAAGAGAUCAAGGCCCAAGGAGUUCCUCAUGUGUUGCUAAAGCCUUUCAGAAAUCAAAGUGGGUCUUUAAAUACCUGGGGUGCAAAAACCAGAUGUUUUUUCUUUAAAGAAAAAUAGACAUAUUAGAGCAGAAUUGGGAGCCCUCUGUGGAAGCCUGAGUCUGGGUGUUUACUAUUGUAUAAGGCCUUGAUAAUCAGGGCUUGAGGCUUUGGAUUCACUAGCAGGGAAAGCUGACCUCACUCAGUGACUCCAGUCCUGGCUUGAUCUUUCUGUACUGCCCUACAUGACCUCUGCACUUCUGUGCCAUCAGCCAGCAGACAGAGAAAAGUAUCUGGCAUUUGUCAGUGUCUUCAGUUUGGUUGCUUUAAGUCCUCGGAUGGAAAAGGCUCAGAUUGUCAUCCUGAAAUUAUUGUCUUUUAAUGUGUAAUUGAGGUCAAGUGAAGCACAAUACUUCAGAGGAUUCUGGUUUAAAAUGCAGAUUCUUGGGCUCAACCUCAGAUCUGCAGAGAUCCGUAUUUUUCUUAUUCCCGCAAAAGAUCCUUUAAACAUUCAGAGGUUUUUAAAACUCUGCAAUAACAAAAAUAUAAGGAUUCUUAGAAACUUACGUUAUAUUUAUAUUUUUCCUGAACAUAGAAGGAUGACAGACAUUGUCAUUUUCAUUAAAAAAAAAAAAAAAUGAAGCAGAGACUUAGCCUGUCAAACUCUAAAUACAUUCCAGCAGAGUCUAACUUCUGGAUUGCAGAGAUCCUCCCACUUCCCCACCAAGUCCCCAUCUAUAAAUUGGCCAUGUGAAUUUCUAGUGGUGUUCACUUCCAACAUGGUGAUUUUAUAAACUGUUACGAGGAAGCAUUAUUAACCUGAAGAAGUUCAGAUGCAUGGAGAGUUUGUUUGGGUGUGAGAGGAUUAAUGGCUAGGUUUUAUUUAUCCAUGGAAGACUUCUUACUAGCUAUGAAAAGGGAUUGGCACAAACUGCUUAUUAAUUUCCAUUAACUGUAUCUAAAGGGAAUAAACAGUGUAAGAGCCUGGGCGUGGUGGCUCAUACCUAUUACUCCAAUCCUUUGGGAGGCUGAGGCAGGAGGAUCAUUUGAGCCCAGGAGUUUGAGACCAGUCUGAGCAACACAGGGAGACUGGUUACUUUUUGUAAAAAAAAAAAAAAAAACACCUGUUUUUACAAAAAGACAAAAAAAUAGUAAGCUGGGCUUAGGGGUCACACCUAUAGUCCCAGCUGCUUAGGAGGCUGAGAUUGGAGGAUCGCUUGAGCUCAGGAGUUGGAGGUUGCAGUGAGCCCUGGCGGACACCACUACACUCCAGGCUAAGUGACAGAGGAAGACCUUAUCUCAAAACAAACAAACAAAAAUAAGAAACAGUAUAAGCAUGGGAUGAGCUUCAGUCACAAAAUUCUGCCUUUCAUAACUUAACCUCAUUUGCCGUUUGAUUUGCUCUUUGAGAAAAUGUGGCCUACUUCUCUACUUACAGAACGUUUACCUCCCUCUUCGAGUCUUCCCUUUCUAUCAUUGAUACUGGCAUUCUGCUCAAAGAAUUUAUCCAUUUAGGCUCUCUUCAAAUCCGAAGUGCUAUUAUUUUAAUAAGAGAUGAAAGGGAAAAUUGACAAAAUCUGCAUGGAGUGGUCAGCAUUGUAAACGAUGGAGACUGUGAAAGCUUCAUCUUGGAAGAUUGUCAGAGAGCCUAGUGCCAGCUCAAGAAGUGUAGUCUUUAAUUUAGAGAAUUGACAAAAAUAUUACAAAGAAAGCACAUGCUGAAUACCAACUCCAGGUGCCAGUCCUGAGAGGCAACUCACUCUAUACUGCAGUAGGAGAUGAAUUUUGCAGGUUAUAGAGGAGAGCAAUUGAAACGUCUUUGCUUCUUAAAGUAUCUCCUUAUCAUGACUUGAGAUACAAGUCAUAUGCUAUCUGCUUUUUUGUUCCUUCAAAGUAAACAGACCACAGAGCUGGAGGUGUCCCAGACACAGGGGGAAGUUGUUUGGAUUUUUCCGUCUGCCUGUAGUGAAGCAAGAUAGGAGGAAGUACUUGGGAACUUCCGUGGCAAAUGGACAAGUAAAGAAAAAGAGAAGCCUGAAAGUCAGUUGUGCUUUCAAAUCCUGAAAUGAGUCACAUCUGAAGUAAAUCACUUCCAUGUCAUUUCCAUGAAAGGGGCAGUGCAAGAAGUUCCUUGCACAACCCUGGUGAGCCCUUGUUAAUUUACACUGCUCUUCUCAGAUUCAGCUAUUACCUUCUGGAAAAAAAAAAAGCAGCAGCAGCAGCUAAAAAAAGAAACAAAACAGAAUCCUCUAGAAAAAGCUAUUCAGACCUUUGCUCUUUAUUUUGUCUGAGUGUGACUAGAUAAAUGCAUUAGACUGCUAGGGCCGCUAACAAAAUACCACAGACUGAGUGCUUGUAACAACAGAAACUAAUUUUCUCACGGUUCUGAAGGCUGGAAGUCCAAGAUCGAGGUACCAGCAGGUUGGUUUCUGAGGCCUCUCUUCCUUGAUUUACAAAUGGCCAGCUACACACCAUGUCUUCACAUGGUCUUUCUCAGAGAGAAAAGAGAGGUGUCUUCCUCUUCUUAUGAGGACACCUCUCCUAUUGGAUGAAAGUCACACCCCUAUGACCUCAUUUAACCUUAAUUACCUCUUUAAAGGUCCAAUCUCCAAAAGUCCCUUGAGGAUUAGGGCUUCAAUAUAUGAAUUUUCAGGGGGACACAAUUCAAUCCAUAGCAUUGGCUUAUUCAUACUUUGGAUAGAUUCUCUUCAUCGUUCUUCAGCCACUAUCUAUAUAGUGCACAGCUUCUUUAUCCUAAAAUAAGUCAGGGGAGGCAUGAAAGGUCUUAUUUCUCCAGCUUCUGCACCCUAAGGCAUUAAAACCAGAUUGUGGUCUGGCAGCCUACACUUGGCCUUGAUGAACUUCAAAUCCAAGAUCUCCUUGGUAUGUAAGGUACGUAAACAGCAUACACUUGUGUGGAGGGAUUUGACAGAUUUUUUUUUUUUUUUUGAGGUGGAGUCUCACUCUGUCACCCAGGCUGGAGUGCAGUGGCACGAUCUCGACUCACUGCAACCUCCCCCUCCUGGGUUCAAGCGAAUCUCCUGCCUCAGCAUCCAGAGUAGCUAGAACUUCAGGCACACACCACCACACCUGGCUAAUUUUUGUAUUUUUAGUAGAGACAGUGUUUCACCAUAUCUCCCAGGCUGGUCUUGAACUCCUGACCUUGUGAUCCGCCUGCCUUGGCCUCCCAAAGUGCUGGGAUUACAGGCAUGAACCACCGCGCCUGACCUUAAAUUAGUCUUUGACUAGUAUAUCCACACUGUUAAAGCAGGAGGAUACUGCUGGAUUGUAUAACAGAGUAUAGCGUGACAAAUCCAUGACUAUGCAUCCUUAGCUGUAUUUUCUCAUGCCUUGAGCCAAAAGGUCACAGUUAACCUAAUGUUGCUACUAAAUACUCAUUCCAUAGAACAUUCUAUUCCAGUCUUCCAGAUUUCAUACAAGAAUAAAAGAAAAACUUUUAGGCUACUGGAGAAUUUUUUUUUGUUAACACCCAAUUUGUUGAAUGUGAACCCUGAAUUGAAAUUGACAUGCUAAGGUUCAUAGAUUACUUCAGUUGCCCUGACUGACUUCGGUAAAUUUAGUUGUGACACAUAGGUAUGACAGCUGACUUCGUUCUGGCAUUAGAGGUGGUGAUGUUUUCAUCACCCUGGAGUUAGUAAAAUCCGAAACCUGCCUGGCAUUUGAUGCACAGUUUGCUGCCAGAGACAGCUCAGCUUCUGACUUAUUGGAGAGGAAAUGACCUAACCUCUGUGUUUACAAAGUGUUUGACACUGAGGCCCUUCCACCUCCUUGCUGAGUGUAAGGGUUGACCUGGCACAAAAUCCCCCUGGUCUUCUCAGGAUAAGACAUGCAGCCAUUGGUGGUCAAGAAGGGAUUUGAUCCCCGUGGAAGGGCACUAGAAGAGGAACAGAGCUGUAACACUUCCGGGUGUUCAGAGGGAAAUCAUCUCCGCACUUAACAGGGCUGGAUUAGACUAUUAGAUUAUUGUCAUGGAGCUCGUGAGUCAUCUCCUUAAUCUGUUUAAUCUCAGCCUUGAGUAAAGGACUCGCUAAGAAAACCACAUUCUAUUCCAGUGUAUUUAUUUAUUUUUAUUUUUGAGACAGAGUUUCACUUUUGUUGCCCAGGCUGGAGUGCAAUGGCAUGAUCUUGGCUCACCACAACGUAUGCCUCCUGGGCUCAAGCUAUUCUCCUGCCUCAGCCUCCCAAGUAACUGGGAUUAGAGGCAUGUGCCAUCACACCCAGCUAAUUUUGUAUUUUUAGUAGAGAUGGGGUUUCUCCAUGUUGGUCGGGCUGGUCUCAAACUCCCGAUCUAAGGUGAUCCACCUGCCUCGACCUCCCAAAGUGCUGGGAUUACAGGGGUGAGUCCAGUGUAUUAUUAUAACCAGAAAUUCUUGUCUUAUCAGCAAACAGCUAAUAUUCACUUACAUGAGCAGUGUAUUAGAUUUCCUAGGACUACUGGAACCAGUUUCCACAAACCGCAUGGCCUAAACCAACAGAAAUAUACUCAUUAUCUCGUUAUCCUAGAGGUUAGUCCUAAAGUAAGGUGUUGGCAGGGCCACACGCCCUUUUACAGCUCUCGGGAAGAAUCUGUUUCAUCCUUUCGCUUGCUUCUAGUGCUGCUGUCAGCCCUUGACGUUCCUUUGGUUGGUACGUGCACCCUUCCCAUCUCCACCUCUGUCUUCUCGUUUCUCCCUAUGUCUCUGUUUCUGUGUCUUCUCUGAUAGAAUUAAGGACCCAGUCUCUUCAGUAUGCCCUCAACUUAAUUAUAUCUGCAAAGACCCUGUUUCCAAGUAAUGCCAUAUUCUCAGGUGUAGGCAUUAGGACAUCAACAUAUAUUUUGGGAGGAAAAUUCAACCCAUAACAGGCAGAGUUUUUUUUUUUUCCUUGACUUUUAAGAAUGUGAAAUAUUGUCGAAUUUUUUCAACCACUAUCAAAAUUAAAUCUAAGAACUAUGUGUCUUAAAUUUAUGACCUCUUCGUUUGAAAAAAAAAAAAUUAACGUUUAAUUGGUACCAAAUGCUUUGCGUUUGCUUGAGGCUGAUUAAUGAGUAAAUUUGUAAACUGUGGCUGUUUUAAUUAGCCAGGGUUAAUUAAUGUUUACCAUACUUGGAAGAUGAAAAGGCAUGUAUAAAUGUUCUAUAAUGUGAAUCAUUUUUUAAUUUGUCGUUGAAGCUUACAGUGUAAUCCAAAUAAGGAUUGCUUAUCUCGGACUUACAAAGGGAAGUUCACUAAUGGAUACAUAUAUACAGUUUGAUAGAAGUAGUAAGACCUAGUAUUUAAUGGAUCAGACCUAGUAUUUAAUGGAUAGCUAGGAGAGCCUAGUCUGAAUGUUUCCAGCAUAAAGAAAACACAGGCUGGGCAUGGUGGCUGACACCUAUGGUCCCAGCACUUGGGAUGGCUGAGGUGGGAAAAUCACUUGACCCCAGGAAUUCAAGACUAGCUGGGUCAUCAUACUGAGACCCCGGCUCUACCAAAUAUUUAAAAAUGAGCCAGGUGUGAUGGUGCAUGCCUAUAGUCCCACCUGCUCUGGAGGCCACGUUCAAGUGAGCUGUGAUCACACCACUGCACUCCAGCCCGAGUGACAGUUGAACGCGCUUUAAUAUUCUGUGUUUAGAAAAGAUAGUUACAUUUUAAAAUCUGAUUGUAUAAGAAGGAAAGGUUAUAAAUGUCUGAGGCCAAGUCAAUAAAUAUUUAGUAUAUCAUAAUUUGAGAUGAAAUGUGGUUUGUUUUUUUCUUUUUUAGUUUCAAGUUGAAACAUUUUCAGAGCAGGUAAGGAAAGGCUAACUGUGCUGAGAUGAAAGUAACAUUUUUAAAGUAAGUUUCUUAAAAUAAAUUUCAAGAAUUUUGUAUAAAUUUUCAUUCAAGCCUCAGAAGCCUGGAUGGGGUCUUGUGCUGAGACAGGAAAGUGUGGGGAUUAGAAGUUUGGAGAGAUUGGAGUGAGAGCCCUCCCUUAUGAGACCUGAAGCUGUACAUCCAUGGAAAGCAGUUGCCCCAGGAGGGAAAUAUUCCAUCCUGACAAAUGGGUCAUACUUUCCAGCCCCAAGAUUUCUGGUUCUGUAGGUGAAUAAAGGAGAACUGGCCUUGAUGACACCCCCUUCAUUUCACUUCACCGUUGUCUGCAUGGAGGACAUAUCAAACUCAAAUUAGUGAAAAAGUUGAGUCGACUUCACUUUUCAUCUCCCACACUAUUUUCUUCUUUGUUCUCUGCAAGAAAAAAUGAAGUUGCUUUUUAUUAUGAUCUCAUAGAUUUUUAUACUAAAGUGAUUUGACUUAAGACCCAUUGCAAUUUAUUUGGAUAAAAAAUGCUUUGCUCUCUAGUUCUUAACAGUAACAUCAGCCUGUUCUUAUUGUGUUAAGCACUGCAGUUAAACAAUACAAAGAAUUUUCCACAGGGACGCAUUCCUUUAUCAUGGGUGGAGCUGUUCAUUGUCUAGCAGAAUUUGAUACCAGAUAAGUCCCUUUUGGGGGAUCUAAUGUGGAAUUUUUUUUCAAGACACCUGCAAAGUCCUGCUAGUGUUGCAAACACUUCCAUUUUUAUUCUUAGGCUUCCCUGUGGGCUGCUUCAGCGUAGAAGUGAGCUCUCUGGGUCCGCGUUUCCAGUGGUUCCACCCAGUAUCCUGAAAGAUUGCAACUCAACGCUCCCAAUGUGAAGUGCUUUCCGUUGUCAGGCUUGGUUUCCCCGUACAUUGUUAAAGGAGGACGUGAAAAGGCUAAAGCAGAAGAGAAAGAGCCAUUCCUAUAUCUAGACUUGUUCACCACAAAGCACGUUUUGUGUUAAAGAAAGCAUGAGUAGGCCACUGUGCAGAAGUGCAUAAAGGGUUUGUGUGCUUUUUAAAAUCUGCAUAAAUAAACAUUUCAAAUGAGCUUUACAAGGCUGAUGUGCUGUCUGUAGGAAAAGGAGCUGAUCCUGUGUUGUGAUUUUAUAUAUAUAUAUAAUUUGUGCUAAUCUUACACACUUGCCAGUUCCCCUUAUAAUUAUCUGCAUAAGCCUUUUUAAGCUCUUUGAAUGAAAUUAACUACAUACGGAUGUUGAAAAUCAUCCUUUCUACCGUGAGCUCCUCAGACUUGCUAACCAGUUCUUUGCAUCCUUUGAAGUAUAAAAUUCCAUCAAUUCAGCACGUAUCAACAUAAAUCAAUUAGAAUGUACUUUCUUCACGGUAUGGCAGAGUUUUUGCUGGCCGCCACGAGGGGCACUGUUUCCCAUUUCGUUUGUUUGCUGUGGUCCACCCCAGGAUCUCUCUUACCCAGGUCAGAUAGACUUCUCUCAUGAGCUUGAGAGAGGGGGCUGGUCAGAUAGGACACAGCUUUAGGGACACCACUCACUGAACUACAAAAUGAGUGCUACUCUUAGAAUUGUACCCACAGCAUCAUAGCAGUGCUGUGGGCAUGUCUUUCUAAGGCCCAUUCUCCUCCCUCCCUUGUCUUGUUGGAAGGUUCAGAUUGGAGCUGAAAUUCAGUCCAGCGUGCAGUUGGACAAGCCAUAUAUCCUGUAUGUGACUCGCUCUCCAGAGAAAGCAUCAUGUGGGCUAGUAAGGGCUUGGCUUCUAUCAGAAGCAAAGGUGAGGUUUACAUCUCUUCGUGCUCUCUCUUAAUUGGUUCAGAGUUCCAGUAGAGAAAAUGGGACACUGUGGAUUGAUUGCCGGAAAACCCCAAAACCUGCACUGAAGGUUCCAGGAGAUUAUGCCCCUAGAUUGUAUAAAGGCACCAGAACGCCUUCUGCCUUUAUAAAAAUGCAUGCAAGAGCCUGAAAACUAAUAUUUGAGGAAUUUUUUUGCUCACUGUACUUUCUUGUCCUCACGGAGAACAUUUGCAGUUUUAAAAAAUAAAUGUGAUACUGUUCCAGAAGUAGAAAACUUCAUGUUUCAUUUUUUCCAAUUUAUUCUAUAUCUAAGAACUACUUAGAGGGAGAAGGAGAAACAAACAAACAAGCUGUACCCAGAAAAAGGAAUGGAACUGCGUAAUUCUUUCUCAUGAUUCCUUGGUGUCCUCAAGCCGAAUUAUCCUCCUUCCAAGGACUGCCCAGGUACCUCAGUACCUGAAAAAAUUUAUUCUCCUUAAGCAUAAUCAUAAAAAUUAUAUAGUAAAGUAAUGAUGAGGAAGACCUGAGAUAAUGCUGUAAAGAAUAAAACCGUUUUAAAAAACACUACUCUUAUUUCUGCUGGUAGAAUUGCAAAUGAACUAGUACUAUUCCUUUUUUCUGUAUUUUUGGCACAGAGUUUAUGUUACUCUUAUAUUUAGUAAAAACUGAUCGUUUUUAAAUAAAAGAAGCCUGACAGUGAAGUCAUAACGUAUGCUGCAGAGGUUAGGCUCUUAAAGUCAGAUUUGUAGAGAGAAUUUCACGUAACAGUCACCUUGAAAUUUCUUCAGGUCAGCCAUCAAAGUGCACGUCUCAACCAGCCCAAGGCAGCCAGUUUUUCCUGUAGUAUGUGAAGAGAGCUGUUUCUUGGGUUAAAAACCAUGUGAAAUAAUUGACUUACGUUUAAAAGACAUGAGGCAGCAAAAUCACAUUCAUUUUUAUUUUUGUUUGUAGAAGACAUGUAGCUUAUAUCACAUUAAUGGGCAUGUGAUGUAAUUUCACUAUAAAUUGAACCAGAGGAAAACAUCCAAAUAUGUAUAAAUUAAAGCUGACAAUGCCUACAAUACUAAACUCUUUGUUUUGAUAUAGUUGGAGACUUACAGAAAAGUUCUAAAAAUAUAUUUAAAAAUUUUUAAAGGAAGUUACAGACAUAAUGGCCCUUUACACCUAAAUACUUCACUGUGUGUUUCCUCAACACAAGGAGGGUGUGUGUGUGUGUGUGUGCGUGUGUGUGUGUGUGUGUGUUAUAAUCUUGAUAGAACAUCUUUUAGAGAUUAUUUCUUUGGUACAUAAACUUGUUUUUUAGCCUGUUUUUUUUUUUUUUGAGACAGAGUUUCACUCUCGUUACCCAGGCUGGAGUGCAAUGGCGCAAUCUCGGCUCACUGCAACCUCCGCCCGCCUCCUGGGUUCAGGCAAUUCUCCUGCCUCAGCCUCCUGAGUAGCUGGGAUUACAGGCACGCGCCACCAUGCCCAGCUAAUUUUUUUGUAUUUUUAGUAGAGACGGGGUUUCACCAUGUUGACCAGGAUGGUCUCGAUCUCUUGACCUUGUGAUCCACCCGCCUCGGCCUCCCAAAGUGCUGAGAUUACAGGCUUGAGUCACUGCGCCCAGCCUUUAGCCUGUACUUUGAAGUUCCUGACAACCCAGGCAGGACCAAGACUCCCUAUGUAGUUGGAAAUCAGAUCAGCACAUUGGCACAAGUUCUACAAGUAAAUGGGAAAAGAGAGCCCCACAAUCUGCUUUUAGAUGCCAGGGAGCCUGGCUGGUCUCUAUCUUGAUUGCCGUCUGAUGCCACUGGUAGAUUUAAGUUGUUUGAUCUGUGAUGUUUGCAAGCCAGAAGGAAAUGUGUCUGACAUGAAAAGGGCCUUCAUCUCUACCCUCAGUCCGAGCCAGACAAGUGACAUUUCAGGAAAAUGUCCCUAGCAAUAAGGAACAUUUUCACGAGUGAUGUGAAGCUUUGUUUGUGUCCCUUCCAGGGACAGUUUGUUACCAUAAGGGGACAAAGCAUGCUUCAUUUAAAAAUCUGUGGCCAGGAAACUGUUACUUUAAACAAAAAUAAACCCAGAUUUUGACAUGUAGUCUGGGAGAUUUUCAAGAUUGAUAGUGUAGUUAAAAAUAAGCCGUGGCUCACACCUGUAAUCCCAGCAUGUUGGGAGGCCAAGGUGGGAGAAUUACCUGAGGUCAGGAGUUCAAGACCAGCCUGGCCAACAUAUCCCUACAAAAGUACAAAAAUUAGCCAGGCCUGAUGGCAGGUGCCUGUAAUCCCAAUUACUCAGGAGGCUGAGGCAGGAGAAUCACUUGAACCUGGGAGGCGGAGGUUGCAGUGAGUGGAGAUUGUACCAUUGCACUCCAGCCUUGGUGACAGAACAGACUCCAUCUCAAAAAAAUAAAAAUUAAAAAAGCCUAAUUUUCUGGAGGUCAAGAUAAAAACUGAAUUUGUGAUGCAGCGUUUACUUUGUGAUAGUAUGUGUGUAAAAGUUCCCCAAGUUGGAAAAUGUGGCCGCAUCAUACAGGUCUGUGUCUCACUCUUGACCAUUGCACUGCCCAGGUGACUACACCACACUGUGAAUGCUGAUGGAUAUUUGGAUUGAUUGCAUUAGCAGAAUAAAUGUACUGUUCAGACCUUUAAAUAACUCAAAAUCAAAAGGAGUCCCAAUUAUUUCAAAUUUAACUCAGGGUCAGUAAAACCUUCUGGCCAUUCAGGUAACCAUCAUAUUCAUUCUGAGGAAGGGAAACCUAGAGGAUUGGGAGAGUGUUCUGGGGGGAUGGUGCCGUUGGGAAUGGGCUGUCCAAGUAGAGUGACAGGCAAGGCCGCACUUGGCUAGAAGAGGGAGCUUUUCAGCCCUGCUCCACCGUGAAGAAUCUCUAUGGCCUUGGCCUUGGCUUCAUCUCUUUUAACUUGGCCUCUUUACAUGAAAGAAAAAAAAAGAUACCGUUGAAUUUAUUCCUUUCCAAAUCUAUCAAAAAUAUGAAAUGUAUGAAAAAGAGGGUGCUUGUGAUAAUAGAUGGGUUUAUGCUUCUUUAAUAUUAGUUUCUAAUCCAAGUUAUAUAGCCAUGUCCUCUAUAAAAUGGAACUUUUCAUGGAACAGUGAGAAAGUUGCAUCAGGAAUUGGGAUACUUGGGUUCAGAUUUCAGUUCUGCCACCUGCUAGUUUUAAGUGUACUUCUCAGGAUGGAUGUCAGUUUGUUCAACUAUGAAUAGGAGUAGUAAUCCCACUAAGGGAGGUGAUUGUGGUUAUCGAAUGAGCAGAUAGGUAGGAAAAACCAUGAGUGCAGUUCUCGCAGUUAUUAAGGUGGCGUAGCUGGCAUAGUCCCAUCACAGUAUGGCUCUGGCAUCGCAGAUGGCUGUAGUACCUAUGCUAAUCAGUACAUCCCUACCACACUUAACGAUCACAUAAGUUCUUCCCCAAAUCAGCUGUUCCACUGACCUACAAGUAAGUCCAUGCUUUUUUAGUAUAUUUACUCCCUAGUGAAGACCAGUCUGCUAAAAGUGUCUUCAGUAUGGGAGAGCUGCUCUUUCCUGGGAAACCCAGCAGUGAAGUGUGUCCUGUGAUGUCCUCUACACUUACUGGCCUGUUUCCUGAAAAUUUCCCGUAGCAAAUGGUCCAGUGAAGGAGGAAGUCCGUGUGCAGUCUUUUCUUUCCUGUGACUUUCUGGUUCAGGAACGUGACCCUGAUGAUAAGUAACUUCAAGGCAUGACUCUGGGCUCGAAGAACUUGACUUUUAAGGUGUUGUAGAGUGAAGUUUCCCCUGGCAAUAUUGUUUCUUGACCCACACUCAUCUCAUGCCUUGUUGUGUUUUCUUUUUGAGAUGGAGCUUCGCUCUGUUGCCCAGGAUGGUGUGCAGUUGCGCGAUCUCAGCUCACUACAACCUCCACCUCCCAGAUUCAAGCAAUUCCUCUGCCUCAGCCUCCCGAGUAACUGGGAUUACAGGCAUGCGCCACCAUGCCUGGCUAAUUUUUGUAUUUUUUUUAGUUGAGACAGGGUUUCACUAUGUUGUCCAUGCUGGUCCUGAACUCCUGGCCUCAAGUAAUCCACCACACCCAGCCAUUAUGCUUUUUUUUCUUUGAUGAAGGGGUAACCAAGGCUGUUUUGUGGUGGUGUCUUUGUACAGCUUGAGGCUGUGGUCACUGUGCUGGUGGGUAGGCAGUAGGUCUUCUCAGAUGGAAACAUGCAUGAGAGUCACCUGGGGAUCACGUUAACAUGCAGAAUCUGAUUCCCUGGAUCUGGGUGGGACCUGAGAUUCUGCACAUCUAACAAGCUCCCAGAGAACACCCAUGUAGCAAGUGUAUAGACGAAAGGGCUCAACGUGAAGGAACUGCAAAAACCGUGGAACCAGCCUCCCAUGAUUUUGCAGAUGAGGAGUAUGAGCCCUGAGGAGUUUCAGAGGCCAUGGAGAGAUUAAGUAUAAUAAACAUAACAGUUGUAUAUUGAGCCAAGAAUCAGACAAGUACAGAACUGCUGAUUGGAAAAUUAAAUCUGAUCUCAUAGUACUGGUGUGGGCAAAAUGCCUAGAAUGGGUGACUGCUGAUUUAUAGUGCAGCUUCUUUACAGGGAAAAAUUAGUCCAUCCCAUUUACAGAUACUUCCAGUGCAGCUGUGUCCGGGGAGAGAGAAGAAGGGUCAUGGAGGAGCGUGUAGGGGUGUGAACUUCAGUCCUUUCAGGCAGGUACAAAAGUAAAUUUUUAUUUAAAAGAUGAGAAUUGUUCAUAUGCGAACCUUCUGUUAGAUGAGAGUAAAAAAUUUCCAUUUGUGGAGAGGCUGCAGAUAAAUAUUUUUCCAUGGGAACCAAAAUAAUCA